UGUAAGUCUCGUAGGUGACCUGCGGAGGGAUCAUU
rnacentral:rRNA from 1 species